CUCCACGCUGGUCUCAUAAUGAUGUAAUUAAGGUUCCAAAUCAGUUGGCCUUAAGAUGGGGAGAUGCUUGUAUGCUCGAUCUCUGGGUCUAGAAGUGAGAAACCUGGAAGCCAGAGAAACGUGAAGUAUGAGACAGGCUGAAUGUGAGGAAAAUGGCAGGAGCCAUGCGGCCUUUGAUGUGGGUGGCCUCUAGGAGUUGAGAGCAGCCUCACUGACAGCCAACAAGGAAAGAGGGGCCUUGGUCUGCAAACAGCAAGAAACUGGAUUCUGCCAACCACCUGAAAGAACUUGGAAACAGACUCUUUCCUAGAGCCUCCUGUGAUCUUCUUCUCAAAACAUAGAACCCCAGUCCAACCAGAGAGUAUCAGACAAACCAACACUGAGGAAUGUUCUACAAAAUACCUGACCAGUGUUUCUCAAAACCCUCAAAGUCAGCAAAAACAAGGACAACCUGAGAAUCUAUUGCAGUUAGGGAAAGAUGAUGGCUAAAUUUAAUAGGUUAAACUGGAUGGAUCCUGGAACAGAAAAGGGGAAUUAGCAACAAACUACUGACAUCCAAAUAAACAAUAGAGUUCAGUUAAUAGUGUGCAAACAUUGGUCCCUUGGUUAUAAUAAAUGUACGGUAGUAAGGUAAGAUGUUAACAAUGGAGGGAACUGGGUCUAUGCAACUUUCUGUAAAUCUAAAACUAUUCUAAAAUAAAAGAUUUAUUUAAAAA
rnacentral:lncRNA from 1 species